GAUGAAGAACGCAGCGAAAUGCGAUAAGUAAUGUGAAUUGCAGAAUUCAGUGAAUCAUCGAAUCUUUGAACGCACAUUGCGCCCCCUGGUAUUCCGGGGGGCAUGCCUGUUCGAGCGUCAUUUCACCACUCAAGCCUCGCUUGGUAUUGGGCAACGCGGUCCGCCGCGUGCCUCAAAUCGACCGGCUGGGUCUUCUGUCCCCUAAGCGUUGUGGAAACUAUUCGCUAAAGGGUGUUCGGGAGGCUACGCCGUAAAACAACCCCAUUUCUAAGGUUGACCUCGGAUCAGGUAGGGAUACCCGCUGAACUUAAGCAGAUCAAUAAGCGGAGGA
rnacentral:misc_RNA from 1 species